ACCUCAAGUGAUCUGCCCACCUCGGCCUCCCAAAGAUAUGUGUUUUUAAAUACUUAUUUAUAAUAUUAAUUAAAUUAAUUUGCCGCUAAGUUGUGUGCCUCUCCACCACUAGAACCUAAGUUCCAUGAGGGUACAGACCUUGCCAGUGUUGGUCUCUGCUGUUCUUCCAGCACCGUGGUCAAUGCCUGGCGUGUGGUAGUCGUUUGAAACAUAAUAGUUGCAUAAAUGAGUAAGUGAAUGAAUGAAUAUCAACUCGUUUUAUAAACUCUAAAAUAUUCUUUAGAAGUUAUGGGUUAUUAUUACUAUUAAAGCCAGACCAGAGGCUGCAACUAACUUCCUGUAUCUGAGAAUACAGAGAGCAAUGAGGAGGGUUUCAUAAGGAGAAUGGGGCUUGGGGGCAAGUAGAGACUGGUACAAGUGAACAAGGUACCCAUGAGUUCAGAUGUUCAAGCAACAAGCAACAAGCAAGAGUAUAUGGAGAAGACUCCUGGGGGACCAUGCCAAGUACAUAGAGAUUCACCCUCACCAAAGUUACCACCAUCAUGAUCAUCAUGGCUACCAAAGUCAACACUUGGCAUUUCUGUCCGGACCAUCUGUAGGCUGCAUGAGGUCUUCAGGCAAGAAUAAUGUCUGCUACCUGCUACACCAUUUCAUGGGAUGGAUCUGGACAACUGAAGUCUCGUUUGCUGUGGGACUCGGGUGUACUGUACCUCAAGACAUUAAGUGAUGGACAUAGGACACAAGCUUGGAGGGGGCAAGCUAAAGCUAACUUCCUGUGAGAAUGCAGAGAGUGAUGAGGAGGGUCUCAGAGGGAGCAUGGGGCUUGUCAACAGAUACAGAGUAAUAACUCUAUGGUAGUCCAGGAUAGUCUUUGAAGGGAAACAGAGAUGUGUAUAAAGAAGUUGAUGUAAGUUGCUGUGCACAGCAUGGUAUAAACUGUCUCUAUCUCCUCAGUAAAAUCUGUAGUAAAAUUUA